rnacentral:rRNA from 1 species
UACGGAAGGCAGCAGUGGGGAAUAUUGCACAAUGGGCGCAAGCCUGAUGCAGCCAUGCCGCGUGUAUGAAGAAGGCCUUCGGGUUGUAAAGUACUUUCAGUCGUGAGGAAGGUGUUAAGGUUAAUAACCUUAGCAAUUGACGUUAGCGACAGAAGAAGCACCGGCUAACUCCGUGCCAGCAGCCGCGGUAAUACGGAGGGUGCGAGCGUUAAUCGGAAUUACUGGGCGUAAAGGGCACGCAGGCGGUUAAUUAAGUUGGAUGUGAAAUCCCCGGGCUUAACCUGGGAAUGGCAUUCAAGCUGGUUAGCUAGAGUCUUGUAGAGGGGGUAGAAUUCCAUGUGUAGCGGUGAAAUGCGUAGAGAUGUGGAGGAAUACCGGUGGCGAAGGCGGCCUCCUGGACAAAGACUGACGCUCAUGUGCGAAAGCGUGGGGAGCGAAACAGGGAUUAGAUACC